rnacentral:rRNA from 1 species
UAGGCAUUCUGGCCUCGUCUCGCAGGCCUUGCGUGCAAAUACCCUUUAGCGCACCUAGUUUACGGGCCUCAACAUCUGGCUUACAUGCUGGUUCGCCUGAUGUGCCUGGCUUGCCCACCUAGUGAGUGACACAGGCACUUACCUCGACCACCAUUGGCAGAAGAUGGCCCAUGGUGUGGGCAGUUACGUCGAACACCAUCGGCACAUGCUGGGCUUUGGUACGGAUGGUUACCUUGAACACCAUCGGCACAUGUUGGGCCUUGGUGCGGGCACAUGCCUCAACCACCAUCGACACAAGCCGGCCUUUGGUGCGGGCACUUACCACGAUCAUCAUUGACACUUGCCAUGCCUCGAUCAGCAUCAAUAGAAGAUAGGCCUUGGUGUGGGCGAUUAGAUCCUGACACGGGAAGGUAGUGACAAUAAAUAACAAUACCGGGCUCUAUGAGUCUGGUAAUUACAAUGAGUACAAUCUAAAUCCCUUAACGAGGAUCCAUUGGAGGGCAAGCCUGGUGCUAGCAGCCGCGAUAAUUCCAGCUCUAAUAGCACAUAUUUAAGUUGUUGCUGUUAAAACACUCGUAGUUGGAACUAGGGUUGGGUCAUCCUGUCCGCCUCAUGGUGAGCAUCGAUUUACUUGUCCCUAUUGCUGGCGAUGCACUCCUAGACUUAAUUAUCGAGAUCAUUCCUUCGACGUUGUUACUUUGAAGAAAUUAGAGUGCUCAAAGCCAGCCUACGCUUGUAUACAUUAGCAUGGGAUAACAUCAUAGGAUUUCAGCCCUAUUAUGUUGGCCUUCGAGAUCGAAGUAAUGAUUAACAGGGACAGUCAGGGGUAUUCAUAUUUCAUAGUUAGAGGUGAAAUUGUUGGAUUUUUGAAAGAUGAAUCACUACGAAAGCAUUUGCCAAGGACAUUUUCAUUAAUCAAGAACGAAAGUUAAGGGCUGGAAGAUGAUCAGAUACCAUCCUAGUCUCAACCAUAAACGAUGCCGACCAAGGAUUGACGGUUGUUACUUUUAGGACUCCGCCGGCACCUUAUGAGAAAUCAAAGUCUUUGGGUUCCGGGGGCAGUAUGGUCACAAGGUUGAAACUUAAAGGAAUUGAUGGAAGGGCACGACCAGGAGUGGAGCCUGCAGCUUAAUUUGACUCAACACGGGGAAACUUACCAGGUCUAGACAUAGUAAGGAUUGAUAGACUGAGAGCUAUUUCUUAAUUCUAGGGGUGGUGGUGCAUGGCCGUUCUUAGUUGGUGGAGCGAUUUGUCUGGUUAAUUUCGUUAAUGAACGAGACCUCAGCCUGCUAACUAGCUACGCGAAGGUGAUCCUUUGUGGCUAGCUUCUUAGAGGGACUAUGGCAGCUUAGGCCAAGGAAGUUUGAGGCAAUAAUAGGUCUAUGAUGCCCUUAGAUGUUUUGGGCGGCACGCAUGCUACACUGAUGUAUUCAACGAGUCUAUAACCUUGGACGAUAGGCUCGGGUAAUCUUUGAAAUUUCAUCAUGAUAGGGAUAGAUCAUUGCAAUUGUUGGUCUUUAACGAGGAAUUCCUAGUAAACGCUAGUCAUCAGCUCGCGUUGACUACAUCCCUGCCCUUUGUGUACACCACCCAUCACUCCUACCGAUUGAGUGGUCAGAUGAAGUGUUCGGAUCAUGACGACAUGGACGGUUCACCGCCUACGACGUCACGAGAAGUCUACUAAACCUUAUCAUUUAGAGGAAGGAAAAUUUGUAACAAGGUUUUUGUAGGUGAACCUACGGAAG